AGAGUUUUGAUCCCUUGGCUCAGGACGAACGCUGGCGGCGUGCCUAAUACAUGCAAGUAGAACGCACAGUUUAUACCGUAGCUUGCUACACCAUAGACUGUGAGUUGCGAACGGGUGAGUAACGCGUAGGUAACCUGCCUGGUAGCGGGGGAUAACUAUUGGAAACGAUAGCUAAUACCGCAUAAUAUUAAUUAUUGCAUGAUAAUUGAUUAAAAGGUGCAAUUGCACCACUACCAGAUGGACCUGCGUUGUAUUAGCUAGUAGGUGAGGUAACGGCUCACCUAGGCGACGAUACAUAGCCGACCUGAGAGGGUGAUCGGCCACACUGGGACUGAGACACGGCCCAGACUCCUACGGGAGGCAGCAGUAGGGAAUCUUCGGCAAUGGACGAAAGUCUGACCGAGCAACGCCGCGUGAGUGAAGAAGGUUUUCGGAUCGUAAAGCUCUGUUGUAAGAGAAGAACGGGUGUGAGAGUGGAAAGUUCACACUGUGACGGUAUCUUACCAGAAAGGGACGGCUAACUACGUGCCAGCAGCCGCGGUAAUACGUAGGUCCCGAGCGUUGUCCGGAUUUAUUGGGCGUAAAGCGAGCGCAGGCGGUUAGAUAAGUCUGAAGUUAAAGGCUGUGGCUUAACCAUAGUACGCUUUGGAAACUGUUUAACUUGAGUGCAGAAGGGGAGAGUG
rnacentral:rRNA from 1 species